rnacentral:misc_RNA from 1 species
AAGGAUCAUUAUUGAAUAAGCUGGUUGGGUUGUUGCUGGCUCUCCGGGGCAUGUGCACACCUGACACCAACUUUUUACCACCUGUGCACCUUCUGUAGACCUGGAUAAACUCUCGAGGAAACUCGGUUUGAGGACUGCUGUGCGUCAAAGCCAGCUUUCCUUGUAACUUCCGGUCUAUGUUUUUAUAUAUAUACCCCUACAGUAUGUCUAAGAAUGUUUGUUGUUGGGCUUCAAUGCCUUUAAACUUAAUACAACUUUCAACAACGGAUCUCUUGGCUCUC